GGAAAAUUCAGUGUCUCCAUGCAGAGCUUGGGGACGCUGAACGGCAGGGCUGCUUACUGUGCAUCAUAUCCCAGCUCCCUGUGUACCACACAUCGCGGCUGGCGCCCAGUGAUGGGGCUGGGCUGCUGGCCGGGACUCCACAGAGCCAGACAGCAUGCACCCAGGGGACAAGAUUUAACAGUUGUAAGUAUGUAAUUAUGUCUCUGUAUGUAUGCAUGUCUC